UGAACGCUGGCGGCAUGCCUUACACCUGCAAGUCGAACGGCAGCGCGGGAGCAAUCCUGGCGGCGAGUGGCGAACGGGUGAGUAAUACAUCGGAACGUGCCCAAUCGUGGGGGAUAACGCAGCGAAAGCUGUGCUAAUACCGCAUACGAUCUACGGAUGAAAGCAGGGGAUCGCAAGACCUUGCGCGAAUGGAGCGGCCGAUGGCAGAUUAGGUAGUUGGUGAGGUAAAGGCUCACCAUGCCUUCGAUCUGUAGCUGGUCUGAGAGGACGACCAGCCACACUGGGACUGAGACACGGCCCAGACUCCUACGGGAGGCAGCAGUGGGGAAUUUUGGACAAUGGGCGCAAGCCUGAUCCAGCCAUGCCGCGUGCAGGAUGAAGGCCUUCGGGUUGUAAACUGCUUUUGUACGGAACGAAACGGCCUUUUCUAAUAAAGAGGGCUAAUGACGGUACCGUAAGAAUAAGCACCGGCUAACUACGUGCCAGCAGCCGCGGUAAUACGUAGGGUGCAAGCGUUAAUCGGAAUUACUGGGCGUAAAGCGUGCGCAGGCGGUAAUGUAAGACAGUUGUGAAAUCCCCGGGCUCAACCUGGGAACUGCAUCUGUGACUGCAUUGCUGGAGUACGGCAGAGGGGGAUGGAAUUCCGCGUGUAGCAGGUGAAAUGCGUAGAUAUGCGGAGGAACACCGAGGGCGAGGGCAGGUCCCCUGGGCCAUGUACUGACGCUCAGGCACGAGGGGCGUGGGGAGCAAACAGGAGGAGAGACCCUGGUG
rnacentral:rRNA from 1 species